rnacentral:rRNA from 1 species
UACGUAGGGUGCAAGCGUUGUCCGGAAUUCUUGGGCGUAAAGAGCUCGUAGGCGGUCUGUCACGUCGGCUGUGAAAACCCGAGGCUCAACCUCGGGCCUGCAGUCGAUACGGGCAAACUAGAGUACUGCAGGGGAGACUGGAAUUCCUGGUGUAGCGGUGAAAUGCGCAGAUAUCAGGAGGAACACCGGUGGCGAAGGCGGGUCUCUGGGCAGUAACUGACGCUGAGGAGCGAAAGCAUGGGGAGCGAACAGG